CUGCGGGACCCUCCUGCCGCCGAGCCGGGACAGGCUUACGCGGAGCUCGUUGCUACAGCAGGCAUUGAGAGGCUUUGAUGCAGGCACUGCCGCUCGGUCCGAACCAUCUGAACAUGGUCACUAAUGCCCCGAGCAGGCAGCGGCAGCUCAAGCAGGAUAUCGCAGGCUUUGCAAAUUGACACGCAAGAUGUGCACAGGACGAGGUGAGUGAGUUGGGACACGACCCUGGCCGAUACAUCAGCAGGAAUUCAGUGAUGUCAGCGGAGACACGGCUCCAGCUGGGAAUGGUGAGGCCAUGCUGCCCAGCAGGAGCAGGGCUGAGAGGCGAGCAGUGAAGCUGUGAGCAGGGAAGUGGCUUUGUCAUGCCACACAGAUUUCCACUGGUCAUUGCAGAAUGGACUGACAGUGCACCCCUCAGUAUAAGGGGUUUCUUAUCCCUGCUAAGGUCAAGGUGGGCUCUAGGAAGGAGCCAUGUGUGUAGAACAAGUGCUGUGAAGUCAGUGGUAGGUUUGGGAAGGCUCCUGCAGGAACCUGGUGCUUUGCCAGGGUGGCAGCAGAUACCUGGAGCUUUAGGGGAACUGGUUUCAGGUAAUUCAUAAGUGAUCACCCUGGGACAAAAUGGCUGAAGUGUAUUUUGUUCCGCUGAUGUGGGAAAAGGCCGCGCCAGUCCCUGUCGGAGAGGCAUUAAUUAAAGGAACUAAUGGCGAGUUCCUAAAAUAUCUAUCGGAGUGAUCAGGAUGUCUGCUGAGAGAAAUCUGACUUGCUAGGCUUCAAGUUGUGCCAAGUCAUUGUGUUCAUCAGGAAAUGAGGGUGUUCUGGGGCAGGUAAAACAGAAAUAAAUCACGCUGACCCUCCUCUGGUGUUUUCUGCUCCUAUUUCCAAAGCCACGUUUCAGGAGGUGGCUUACAUACAUUUGUUUCAUCGUUGCUUAAUGGGAUGUAGCAGCUCUAAGGCAUUUUUUUUCUUAUAUUGUGGUUAAUACUUUUAGCACAUUGUGUAGAAAUCUCUCCUUACUAAAAUUACCAUUCUAAGCACCCCUUUCUGAAACUCCCCUGCCAAGUAUUCCCUGCAAAGUCUGCAUUAGAAGAAUGUUAAUCUGAUUUACAGUAACCUGACAUGACAACUCGUGGUAAUAGGUGAUAAAAAGUUGAAACCUUGCAACAGAGAGAACGUUCAUCUCUGGCCAUGAUAUGAACACGGGAUAUCCCAGGGGGUUGGCUCAGGAUAGCACAGAGCAGGUGAGC